UCCCUGGUGGUCCAGUGAUUAGGACUCGGCAUUUUCACUUCUGGGACCUGGGUUCAAUCCCUGGUCAGGGGG
rnacentral:tRNA from 1 species